rnacentral:misc_RNA from 1 species
GGCAUGCUUGAUCUCUUGUGAGUUGUGACCUUAGCUAAGAUUGUACCCAAAUGCAGGAACAUAUCUACAUUGUGCUACAACCUCUUUCUCCUUUUGUCCUUCUUGUUUCCUUCUUUUUCCCUCCUUCCUGGGAUGGAAUACGAGCACAUGAAUUUUUUGGCUAUUACAUUUGUAGAGUGAAGUAAACAGGAUUUUUAUUUAUAUCAAUGGGAUAUACUAUUUCCUCAUUGGUUGUACCAUUUUAUUCUAUUUCUUUUGUAUCCCAAUUUUUAAAAUUUUCAUAUUUAUAUUUGUUUGGUAUCUGCAG